rnacentral:sRNA from 1 species
GACAUGGAGAUCUGUGCAGAUGAGCUCAAGAAGGUCCUUAACACAGUCGUGAACAAACACAAGGACCUGAAGACACACGGGUUCACACUGGAGUCCUGCCGUAGCAUGAUUGCGCUCAUGGAUAUGGCUCUGGAAAGCUCAACCUGCAGGAGUUCCACCACCUCUGGAACAAGAUUAAGGCCUGGCAGAAAAUUUUCAAACAUUAUGACACAGACCAGUCCGGCACCAUCAACAGCUACGAGAUGCGAAAUGCAGUCAACGACGCAGGAUUCCACCUCAACAACCAGCUCUAUGACAUCAUUACCAUGCGGUACGCAGACAAACACAUGAACAUCGACUUCGACAGUUUCAUCUGCUGCUUCGUUAGGCUGGAGGGCAUGUUCAG